rnacentral:lncRNA from 1 species
AUAAUACUAAAAUAAAAUCAAUCAUAAAUACCUUUUAGAUCACAUCUAAAUAUUUUAUGAUUCAAAAUUUUAUUUUUUUAUGAUUAAAAUAAUUUUAAUCAUAUAGAUUAGAUAUUUUAUUUUUCAUAUAACUUUGUAUCACAUGCAACAAACCUAAGGUUUCAAGAUCUACGAUUUUACAGAAAAAUAAGUUCUUCCUUUCGUAUUCUUCUUCAUGGGAUUUAAUCACAUAGCACUCCUACAUGCC